ACACACACACACACAAAUUGAGCUUUAAGGUCCUGAAUUGUAAAGAACACCUGAACUGUAAGUGACCUAACUGGUACUACUAGCUUGCUUAGCAGACAAAAAACAAAACAAAACAAUCAAUCUAGAAAAAAUAUAAACAUCAGUAAAACAUUUUAAAGGUUUUGGAAAACAACAUAAAAAAUAUUUUUGUAGGCCUUCACAUUCCUCAUCAUGAACAACCAUGAACAAGGAGUGUGGAAGGGAGAAAAACAGUGUGAGAGAUUCACAUCUUCUCCUGCUUUAAUUAAUACACUGAUGGCUGUCUCUACAGAGCUAUUAAAUCUUCACGAAAGCCAGCCACAAUCCAGAAAUCUAAAACUAUUUGUCUAGGAGAACAGAUAUCCUUAUCUCAAAACACACCAUGUUGUUUUGAGUUGCAUCAAGUAGUACUGUGGAGAGAUUAACUGCUAGAGAUUUAGAGGUCAGAAAUUGAUGAAAGCACCAAUUACUUAAAAACUACUUUCGAAGGUGGUUGCUGUCCAUCAUAUAUUGUAUAAACUCUGUGUGUGUCUACAUUGUGUGCAUACACUCAUGUACAAAUGAACAGAUAGCAGUAUGCUAAUAUUUGCAGGAAAUAUGCUCUUUCUUUCUGUGCACCAGAAUAUAUACUCUUGAGGCUUUAAUGUUUUUAGAUUUUAUGACAUCAAAACAAAUUGGGUGAAGGCACAUGAUGUUUGAAAACAUUUUAUACAUGCACUUGAGAAAAGUUUGACAUUGUGUUGCAUACAAGGAAAUGGUGUUUUGCUUUUUCUGGAAAAGCAAUCUCAUGAGAGUUGCAUUAUAUUCACUUGUAAGGGCACUUGUCCAAUUUCUCUGCAUUAAUCCUUCCUUCUCCUGAUCCUUAUGUUGCCCUCCUUCAGUAUAUACAGGUGCUAUCUAAUUUGUCUCACACAUUUGGCUUGCUGAUAAUGUUUAAAUAUUAGAGCCGAUUGUUAGCCUUGCCUGUAUUGUUUUUUUAAAAAAAAUCUGUAAAAAAAAUUCACAUGGAUAAUAAAAGCAAAACCAAGUCCAAUUCAUACUACAGUAGAGUCUCGCUUAUCCAACCUUUGUUUAUCCAACAUGCUGGAUUAUUCAACGCAAUCUGCCUCUUAGUAGUCAGUGUUUUUGUAGUCAAUGUUUUCAAUACAUUGUGGUGUUUUGGUGCUAAAUUCGUAAAUAUAGUAAUUACUACAUAAUGUUACUGUGUAUUGAACUGCCUUUUCUGUCAAUUUGUUGUAAAAGAUGAUGUUUUGGUGCUUAAUUUGUAAAAUCAUAACCUAAUUUGAUGCUUAAUAGGCUUUCCCUUAAUCCCUCCUUAUUAUCCAACAUUUUCGCUUAUCCAACAUUCUGCCAGCCCAUUUAUGUUGGAUAGGUGAGACUCUACUGUAAUAAAAUUGCAGGGUGUGCUUACCAUAUCCCUUGUUGGAUGACUGCCUGGAACCAUUCACAGUGGUAUUAAACAAGUCUCUGUUAAGCUGUAUGUACUGUGUGUAUUAUAUGUUGUGGAGUUUCACCAGGAUAUGUGAACUCAUGAGAAUGUACAGUAGAGUCUCACUUAUCCAAGCUAAACGGGCCAGCAGAAGCUUGGAUAAGCAAAUAUCUUGGAUAAUAAGGAGAGAUUAAGGAAAAGCCUAUUAAACAUCAAAUUAGGUUAUGAUUUUACAAAUUAAGCACCAAAACAUCAUGUUAUACAACAAAUUUGACAGAAAAAGUAGUUCAAUACGCAGUAAUGUUAUGUUGUAAUUACUGUAUUUAUGAAUUUAGCACCAAAAUAUCAUGAUAUAUUGAAAACAUUGACUACAGAAAUGGCUUGGAUAAUCCAGAGGCUUGGAUAAGCGAGGCUUGGAUAAGUGAGACUCUACUGUAGUAAUUUUGCUUACCUCUACAACUGUUAGGAUGCUGCAAUUUUGGCUGCUGUACCAUCUAACUCUGUUAGAUCAGAUAAUAAUAAUAAUAAUAAUAAUAAUAAUAAUAAUAAUAAUAAUAAUAAUAAUAAUUAUUAUUAUUAUUAUUAUUAUUAUUAUUUUAUUCUUAUACCCCGCCCCAUCUCCCCGAAGGGACUCGGGGCGGCUUACAUGGGGCCAAGCCCGAACAGAACAAUAAAAACAAAACAAUAAAACCAAUCAAUACAAAAACCAAUCAAACAAUAAAGAUUCAGCUGUUGUGCUCUGAAAUGCUUCAGCUUUCUGGUUGACCACAUGUACUCUGACAAAAUAAUAUCACUAUAUCCCCAGGGAAAACCCAUCAAUAUACGUCACAUACUAGUGUAUAAGUUGGCCAUUUGAAGAUAAAUUUUUGUUUGUGGAAAGUGGAAGCUGCAUUCAGGAGAUGGGUAAAUAAUCACCAGACAUAGUUGGCACACCAAUACUGGUGCUUCAAACUACAGAGACACAAUCUGCUCUGAUUCUAACAAAAUUGUUGUCAUGGAUAGCUUGGAAAGCGAUGAUGAGGACAUGCUGGUGGAAGGCUCGGCAGUUGAGCUGAUGCCCAGCAGCUCCUUAAGCCAAGCUUUGAAGAAGCACCUGUGGAAGGGGCUCCUAUUUCUUAGCCUUCAGAACAAGUGCAGGUGAGUUCCUCUGAGCAGGUUGAGGAAGAGAUCCAACUUUUGUGGACCUGCGAAAGAGAGGUCUCAGCUGCUUAGGUCCCUGAGAUUAACUGAGAAGAAAGUUUACAACAGGUAAAAGUUGUGAUUUAAGGAGCUUAGGGGUGGCACUUUGUUGCUGGCUGCAAUGUCAGUUCUACAAGUUACGACCUUAGACUCUUGCUAUCUCAUGUUUCCUGAACCCUGGAUGAAGACAUCAAAAUUCAGUACUGUAUCUAUCCAUAUACAGGCAAUCCCCAAGUUACAAACAAGAUAGGUUCUGUAGAUUUGUUCUUAAGUUGAAUUUGCAUGUAAGUCAGAACAGGUACAACCAAAAACAAAAAAAAGUGCUAGUUUAAUUGGGAGCCAUACUGGAGUAUUGUCCUGAAAGGAUUCUAAUCAGUAAAUCAGUUCCUGAAUGAUAAAUCAACACUUAUGGAAAUCCUGUUGAUCCAGUGGGUCUGUUCCAUGAGACUAGAAAGCUGGUUUACCCCAUUGUGAAAGUCUAUAACACUAUAUAACAAAAUUUGAAAAAAAAGUAUGUUCCUGGUUUGAAAGUGUUAUUUCCUGUUUAAUUAUGCGAUACUUACUUUGAAAAUAGUUGUUAUGCUUCAGAAAUUUUGUCUUUGUGGCUUAGGAUAGUAUUAAUUCUUUCAGUCUAAGUGCUUCAUUUGUAAUUUUCCUUAAUGAAAAUAUACAUUUUUUAACCUUUGUGUAGACUGCUAAAACAAAGUUUUGCAGUUUAAUACAUUUUCCAUGUUUUUAUAAUAGGACCAAUUUGGAAAUGACACUUAUAACCCAGGAACAAAAAUCAUGCUACAUAGUGUAAUCAAACCUUCUUUGUGAAUAUAAUUUUAGUGGGGUGUCAGCAUUUUUUGACAAAGUAUUUUGCAUUUAGAGAAGAGGUUCUCAAUAUAUAAAGAAAAAACAGGGUAAUAAAUCCUGGUGACUAAUUUGUGCAUAUAAUGCAGAAACAUUUCUUUUGAUGAUGCUUAAAGAAAUAAAAACCAUAUAUGAUAAUCUCUUAAUUGUCUGUUUUAGAUCUUUUGGAGUGUGGUGAUUAGAGCAGUAUGUGGUAGAGCUUCUUGUUUGAUGUUCUGUAGAGGGUUUGUUUUCUUUGACCUCUGGUGGUAGACAGCCGUUUGAAUUAUUUUGCUAACAUGUAUCAAGAGUACAGUUAGUAAGGCAAUAUCAUCAUUUAUUAUUUGUAAAAAUGAAUUAACUUUAACAUUAGAACAAGCUAGGGCCAGAUCAUACAAAGCGGAAUAUGCAGUUGUGCUGUGUUAUCACAAGGGGGCACAAAUGAUCUAAUAUUGACUUAACCUAGCCCUAGCUAUGAAAAAAGACCAUUAUUAUAUUAUAAUGGCACAAGAUCUGGUUUAUCUAUAAAUUAUGCAUUGGCAAUGCAAAGCAUUAAAACACAAUGUAUCUUUAAGUCAGAACUAACUGCAGCACUUACCUUGUUUUGCUAUAAAUACACAGUAAUGCAGAAUGAAUUGUUUAUUAUCAUUAAUGGAAUGUUUAAUUCAUAUUAUCCUUCACUGAGGCAAGGAAGCCAAAGGUGAAGGCUACCAUGCUGAUCAUUGAGGGUGGGAGUUGUUUGUUAGUGCAUUUCGGGUAUGUCACAUUUGAAUUGCACAUUGCCUUUGCCUGGUUUGCAACUUUUGCUGCUUUCAGUUAUUGCUAUUAUUAUAUAUGCAGUGCAAGACUCCCCACCCCCCACCCCCAAAAGGCAGGUUGUAACCCACAGGGAGCAAAGAGGGCUGGUAACACCCAGUAAACAAAAGAGACAAAGCCUUGGGGUGUUGAAAAAGAUGAUUUUAUUCUUAUAAUUAACCCACUGCAUUUUGGCCUAGUAAUAUUUAAUAGCUUUCUUCGGGGACUUUUAAAGGAUGAAAGAAAGAAAAAAGACAAUACAAAAACAACAAAAAUACCACAAGAGACAUGAUACAAUUAGAGCACUAAUUCUCUCUCUGUGUGUGUGUGUGUGUGUGUGUGUGUGUGUGUGUGUGUAUAUUGUACGUAAAAUGUUUCAAUUUGUAAAAUACCUAUGAAUCCAAAUCUAUAUACAGUAGAGUCUCAAUUAUCCAACACUCGCUUAUCCAGUGUUCUGGAUUAUCCAAUGCAUUUUUUCAGUCAAUGUUUUCAAUACAUCAUGAUAUUUUGGUGCUAAAUUCGUAAAUACAGUAAUUAUUAGAUAGCAUUACUGCAUAUUGCACUACUUUUUCUGUCAAAUUUGUUGUUAAACAUGAUGUUUUGGUGCUUAAUUUGUAAAAUCAUAACCUAAUUUGAUGUAUAAUAGGCUUUUCCUUAAUCCCUCCUUAUUAUCCAACAUAUUCGCUUAUCCAACGUUCUGCCGGCCCGUUUAUGUUGGAUAAGUGAGACUCUACUGUAUAUAAAAAUGUACUGUUCAUUUGUAGGACCGAGUUAACAACAAAACCACUGGGCCAAAUCACACCAAAUUUGGCCACAGAACUAAUCACUUUCCAAGGAGUGACCAUAAAAAAAAAAACAUAAACAAGGCCAGAAAAAUCCCCCAAACAAAAAAACAUUAUGUGCGUGCGCAACAACUCUCCCGCUUAUGGGGGCAACCCCAUCCGCCAUCUUGAAAGUAGCCACUAUCAAUCAAGCUCUCGGGACAGCCAAGGCGAAGAGGCAAUGUGGACAAAAGCAUGUUCCGUUUGCUAUGGGUUGGGCACGGGUGAAGGAUCUGUUCCAGCAAGAGGAAGGCUCCGGGUCCUCGCCAGGCUUCUCCCCCACUGAGUACUUGGCCUCCUUCCUGGCUGCUUCAGCCUGCCUCCUCCCAGUUGCCUCCACCUCCCUUUCUUUCCCCCUAUUCCUCCUUCUCCUCUCCACUUCCUUCGCCGUGCUGCUGUCAGGAACACAUCCUCCACCCGCACCGUCCACAGCAAAGGGAACAUGCCUCCUUCCUCCACUCGGCUGCCUUGGGAGAAGAGAGGCUCGAAUGCAGCCCCAAAAGCAGAGAAGGAGGAAGAGGAGGAAGAGAAAGAAGGGAAGGGGCUUCCCCCUAAGCAGCAGCCCCUGUCCCAACAGAAGAGUACCUCGCUCCCUGAAACUUCUUCCUUGGAGGAGCUGCUGCACCAAGGUUUCAAUGCUCUUUGGAUGCGGGUGAACUACAACUCCCAUAUGCCUAUAUUCACAGUGGCCCAUGCAGCAGGGAGAACUACAAUUACCAUUAUGUUGGGUCAGUCCCCCCUCAAACCCCAGCAGUAUUCAAAGUUGGUAAUAUAAACCACAGAGGAAAAAAAGCAUUAAGGAGAAGACAAAAAGCAGCUAGGCUUCCAAGCUGCGAGGCUAUUGAAUGCAAAUCAAGCUGGCCAAACAAAGAUUCCCCUACAAAGGAAGUAGCCAGGCUUCAAAGCUGCUCUUUGAUUGAAGGUGCUACUCGCCUAACAAGGUUUCCCCUAGGAAGGGAAAACACAGCCAGGGAUUGGAGCUACAAGGCUAUUCAGUGCAAUUUAAACAGGUCAACAAAGGAUUAACCUUGGUAGCAAGCAGCCGGGCUUUGAAGCAGCGAGGCUAUUCAUUGCAAUUCUAGCAGCCCAAAAAACCAUUCCCCUAGAACACAAGUACCAAGGCUUCCGAGCAGCAAGCCUAUUCCGUUGCAUCCCAGCUCACCAAACAAGGAUUCCCAUAACAAGAAAAUGGACAGGCUUUGAGGCUGGAAGGCUACUCACUGCUAUUCCACCUGGCCAACAAAGGAUUCUCAUAUGCCACAGCAAUGCGUGGCCAGGUACCGCUAGUAAAUUUAUAUAAAUACAAAGUAUUACUUGCAGUGAAACUUUGAAACUGCCUGCAGGGAUUCCAAAAAGAAUGUUUCCAAAGCUUGUGCCUGGCAAUUGAUAGUUUGAGAAGGGAGAAGUAUCACAGCAAUUCUAGGGAUAUGUGAAAACUCAAGUUUUAAAAAUGGAUGCAUUCUAGAUCCACAUUUAUACCACAGGGGACUAAAAGAAAGUUUCUCAAGCACGCAAAAGCACAGCUCCUUAAAGAAGUGACCUUUAAGGGGCACCUUAUCUUCUGUUCCUAGUACUGCAAAGAUGUUCCCCUACAUGAGUUUUUAAGACUCUGCUCUGGAUGUUUUUCCUAUGUAAUUUGUUGCAGGAACCCUUGAUGGUACAAAUCACUCAUAGAGUGCAGUAAGUUGAAAAUUGUUUUAGGUGUAUGUUUCCCCCCCAUUGUGAUCCAUAAACUCUGUGUAUUUGCAAUAAGUUCAAUGACCACAGGAGUGACGGCCUCUUGGGCCUGUUGCUGGUGGUAGACUGUUAGGAAUGGCACUUUGAUAUGUUCAUUAAUGGGUCCCAAAUGUUGUUAUUAUUAUUUUAUUGUUAGAUAUGUUAUCAAUCAGUAGGGUUUUUAAAAAAUAUGCAGACUGCCCCCAAGUUAUGAACAAAA